GUGACCUAUUUUGCACAUAUACUGAAAUUAUAAUGACCCAGAGGAGAUUAGCCUGACAGCUGCUCAAGGAUGACAUGCACAUUCAUACAAUGUUCUAUAUUUGG
ensembl:snRNA U6 U6 spliceosomal RNA